rnacentral:rRNA from 1 species
CCUACGGGAGGCAGCAGUGGGGAAUUUUGCGCAAUGGGGGCAACCCUGACGCAGCAACGCCGCGUGAGUGAUGAAGGCCUUCGGGUCGUAAAGCUCUGUCAGAGGGGAAGAAAUGCAGGUGGUGAACAACCAUUCUGUUUGACGGUACCCUCAAAGGAAGCACCGGCUAACUCCGUGCCAGCAGCCGCGGUAAUACGGAGGGUGCGAGCGUUGUUCGGAAUUAUUGGGCGUAAAGCGCGUGUAGGCGGUUUGUUAAGUCGGAUGUAAAAGCCCCGGGCUCAACCGGGGAAGGGCAUUGGAUACUGACAGGCUUGAGUACGGGAGAGGAGAGUGGAAUUCCCAGUGUAGGAGUGAAAUCCGUAGAUAGUGGGAGGAACACCGGUGGCGAGGGCGGCUCUCUGGACCGAUACUGACGCUGAGACGCGAAAGCGGGGGGAGCAAACAGGAUUAGAUACACUUGUAGU